rnacentral:rRNA from 1 species
CUAAGUUUGAUGGCGACCGGCGCACGGGUGAGUAACNCGUAUCCAACCUGCCGAUGACUCGGGGAUAGCCUUUCGAAAGAAAGAUUAAUACCCGAUGGCAUAGUUCUUCCGCAUGGUGGAACUAUUAAAGAAUUUCGGUCAUCGAUGGGGAUGCGUUCCAUUAGGUUGUUGGCGGGGUAACGGCCCACCAAGCCUUCGAUGGAUAGGGGUUCUGAGAGGAAGGUCCCCCACAUUGGGACUGAGACACGGUCCAAACUCCUACGGGAGGCAGCAUG